UAUUGAAAAUUUCAUCCAUUAAUACUGUCAAAAGCUGGUGUGAUUGACAAAAUAACCAAACAAAUACAUGUGAAAAUUUCAUCCACAUGUACCUCGUUCUGACUUAAAGAGACUAAAUUUUAAUAGUAGAAAUGGAUGAAAUUUUUAACA
rfam:Gossypium hirsutum cultivar TM-1 chromosome 14, whole genome shotgun sequence